CUGCAUCCACAACAGAUGGAAGUUUCCAGACCAGGGUUUGAAUCCGAACCAGAACUUUGCCACAGCUGCGGCAACGCCGAAUCCUCAACCCACUGCACUGGGCCGGGGAUAGAACUGGCAGCUCCUUAGCCCAGUGCCCCAUAGUAGGAACUCCUUUCCCUUGUUUUUUUAAAUUUUCUCUCUUCCCUCCUCACACAAAUACUCAAAUUGUCAGUCUUAAUGUUGGAAAUCACGUUUAGGAAGCGUCAAAUGUAUACUGAAGACAUUACGGACUUCCCCUGACUGAUACUUCCCCAUUUUCCAGAGAGGUAAGGUAAGCGUGAAAAAGAGUCAAGAACACUGGCUAAUGCUGUACAGAAGACAUUGGCACAACACUGUAAAUCAACUAUACUUAAAAAAACAAAGAACACUGGCUAAGAUCAGGCAUCAUAGGUCAACAGCCUAAACCCCAACUCUGACCUACGCUGUUCUUUGCCAAAGACAAGCUGUUUCUCCUAUCGAAUAUGGCUUUUUGUUUGGAAGCCACCCACCUGCAUGUGUGUAUGUUGAACUCCAUUAGAAAAGUGCAACUUACUUUGCUGUAUUUUGCCCAAUAAGCAGAAGUAAAAAACACUUGUUCUGACAUUCCUGCGUUACGUCUGUGAACACAGACGUAACAUUUUCACUCCCGACAGUUACCCGUUAAUUAUAACCCAAACAACGUACUAUCCAUCUGCAUAUAAUUUCCUUCAUUCAAAACUGCUCCACCAGAUAUUUACCAAAUGCUUACAGACCUUCCAAAUUACAAGCUGUGUGAGCUCUCUCUGCGAAUGCUUAUAUGCUCUUCUGCUGAGCUCAAAGGGACAGUAUCACUUUUAGAAAAUUAUUUUUUUGUCUUUGAGUUUUCGGUUCAGUGUUUUUUCCCCCGGAGAAUGAAUACAAAAUAAACCUAAGGCCUCGGAAGGAUCCAGCACUAUCACUCAUCACGCCCACUGAACUUGAAAUAUUACAGCCUACCCUUACUGUCUCUCCCCUCUCUUUGCUCUGUUCACCAAUUAUUGAAAAGAAAUAAAAUCUUAGCUUCCCAGAGGCUUUCAGGAAUGAAUCCCUUGGAUAACGACUGUUAAUAUUUUCCUGAGUAUCUCUAAAUGGAGAAAGGGAGAGAGGGAGGAAGCCUGGGGCGGCGGGGACGGGGUGGGGGUGGGGGAGGGGAAAGAGAUGGAGGGGGAGGCGGAUGGGGGAGGGGGAAGAGAAGACUCAUUGUAGAGCCAGAGGUCUCCCAAUGGCUAUGUUUUCCACCUGACUGGGUAUCAUAAGCAUCAUUCUAAGUUCACAAAUACAGACGGAUACCCUUCAUACAUAUGCUAAAGCCAAUCUGACCCAGUCUCCCUAUGGGUAGAUGUUUUGAUUUAGAUGUUAGUUCCUAAAACACCUCUGUUGUCCUUGGCAACGGCAGGCACUGCCCAUAAUCGAAUCUGUCCCUGGUGAAUCAGCGCGUGUGUAUCCGUUAACGCACGGUCACUGCGAGAAGCAGAAACCACAGGACUUUAGGCUGAAAGACCGAAGGGGUCUUAUGUACAAUGCCUAUGUAAUAUCAUAUAAUGUACAAUAUAGUAUAGCAUAUAUUGUAUAAUUGUAUAUAUUACAUAUUAUAUAUAUUGUUAUAUCGUACAUACUGUAUGUAUUGUUAUAUUGUAUAAUUGCAUAUAUUAUAUGUUGCAUCAUUGCACAUAUUACAAAAUAUACAAAUAUCAUAUAUCAUAAUAUACAAUAUAUUACAAUAUACAAUAUUAUGUUACAAUAUACAGUAUUAUAUUACAAGUAUAGCAAUUAUAUACAAUUCAUAUGCCCCUUCCCCAUGUAGCCAAAGAACCACUGGAACACUCUAGACGGCCCACCUUUCCCACAGCCCGCAGGUCUUCUGGCAUCAGCCUCGCCCCUCUCCUACCCCUUCCCCGCACACACAGACACAGGCAGAGAGUGUGUGAACUUCCGGCAGGUGAGCAGGAUGCCCUGUUCCAACACCCGCUCCCGGCGUUCUCCACCCCACCUCAGUGAAGAGCUCUUCCAGGAGCUGUGAGCAGUUUGAGAACCGGGUCACUGGCCUAUUCUCUUUUCCCCCAGCGCCAAUGACUGUGCUAGGCAUGGACUAAGUGCUCAGCGAUGGCUGCUGAAGUUAUUUCAGAGUUUUGGCCUUUGAGGGCUAUGUUCGGAGCUUAUGACCCCGGGAGCAGCUCCCUUUACCGCACAGCUGCUGCAUUUCCCACUGCUUUAUUCGUAAGCUUCCUUUUCUCUUUUCAGGCUCUUGGGGCUUGCUGAGCCUGCUACCACCUUUUAUCACCCCCCAGAAUACAAGUACCACCCACAUGCAUUUCCCUCUUCUUUGUGCCUUUCUUCUUUCUGUUCCUUACUUCUGUUACUGCUUUUCUUUUGCUUCUUGUCCCAAAUCUACUCACCUAUUAAAUGUCAUUUGCCAGUAGAAGAGUCCUCCUUCUUUCCCCAUAGCUUCAAACAGGCAGCCACAAAACACAGUUAAUUCCAGUGCCUUCUGGAAUAGGUGCUCAUGGUCUGCAAGCCGUAGUGUGUAAAUGUAGAUGAGAGAGGGUUUGCUGCUCUUAUUUUUUCAAAUUACACCGUGGAGGGAAGCCUAAGUAUCUAAUAAUAAUAAAGCUUUACUAUAUUAAGCCCAUAAACGCAGUCCCAAAUAAGAAAAAAAGAUCAAUUGCAUCUAUGAUAGUACAUUUGCUUGCGAUAUACCACGACUUGAACUAACAGGUCAGAGCCAAACGUGAUAAGGAGGUGAGGAGAAUUGUUAAAUCUUUUACGGCAUCUCCCUGAUGAGGUCCCGAUCAGAAGCUAUUUGCAUGAAAGUCCACAGGAGCGGUUGAUAGCAACGCUGCAUAUCAUCCUAGCUGUAGAGAAGGCUCAUCUAAAUCACUGCAGGAUUUCUUUGCCUAGGGAGGCGCCACAGAGAUCCAGAACAGUUUAAAGAUUUUCUUUAUGUCAUGGAUAACGUCUCUCCAUUUUCAUCAAUGAAUUGACACGUUUAUCCAGCACCCACUUUGUAAAAGAGAUUUUUCUAGGUACCAAAGAGUUCCCAAGGAAGUAUAAGACACAAUACCUGACUUUGAAAGCUUGCCAAGGGAAGUCAGUGUGUUUAUUGGAAUCAAUUAGUGGUGGUGACCUUGAAUUCUGAGGCGAGUACAAUCCCACUCCAGCAAAACAAACAAACAAACAAACAAAAAACAGCCUGGAGAACCUGCUUUAAAAGAAGAUUCAAGAGUUGAAUUCCUAUGGACGAUAAGAAAGGCUCUGGAACUCCUAACACCUCACUUAUCCAAAGACCAACUACAUACCCCGACCACUGCAGAGAACCAGGAAGGGGGCAAAGGGGGGAAAUUCCAAAACAAGCAAAACACCCUCCCAGGGUUCGAAAACCAAGGCUACAAGACUGAAAUGUCUGAAUUUUUCUCCCAAGUGAGCCUCCCAGGCCACCUCUGCUUGGAGUAUCGCUUUACCUGCAGCCCACACAUGAGCUUGGGCAUGUCAUUUUUCAGGUCACUAGAAGUCAGAAGCAACAAAUGAGAAGGGGAGGAAUUGCUAGCAUAAGCAAUGUGAGCACAGCAAAAUGUGAUGGAUUCCAAGUCAAGAAAAAGAAUAACUACUACGAAAAAAUGGGCAAAAGAACCAUGUUGUACAGUAGAAAAAAUCGUAUUGGGGAAAGAACUAUUUAAAAAAUAAAAAAUAAUAAUAAUACAAAUAAAUACAUAAAUAAAAAUUUAGACCUCCCAUUGUGGCUCAGUGGGUUAAAGACCUGACAUUGUCUCUCUGAGGAUUCGGGGUCCAUCCCUGGCCUUGCUCAGUGGGUUAGGGAUCCAGCGUUGCUGGGGCUGUGGCAUAGGCUGCAGCUGCAGUUCCAAUUCAGCCUCUAGCCCAGGAACCUCCACAUGCUGCAGGUGCAGCCCUAAAAAGAAAACAAAUCUAUACAAUUACAUGUAUAAAUGUGUUGUUAGGGUUGUUGUUGUUGUUGUGUGCCUACUUUUCGUUUGGGGCCAGGCACUGCCGGAGAUGAAGAUGCUUCUUCCUGGAGCUUGAGGGUGCCUCGGCUCUGGGCCACUAUGGCUUUUCUUUGUUAAAAGCAGUUGAUUGGAGGGACAGGCAAAAUGGCAGUUGGUCCGAUUCCAGCUGCCUGCGAGUAACCCAGGCUGGCCUGAUCUCUGACCACCGACAGCCAAGGACCAUCUGGCUCUCGAUUUGUGUCACAAUC
rnacentral:lncRNA from 1 species